CGAGGAUUACAGAGUUCGUCACGCAACGUCAAAGAGUCACCCAGAAUCAUCCAGCUUCACUGCAUCCUGCCAAAACAAAGUUGGGGAAAAAAAGAAGAGAAGAUUAAAUUAGGAUGGGUGCAAAUGUACCACCUGAGGUCACAGCGCAUAAAGCAGGAGACAGCGGUGCCAAGCAGAAUCAAAACCAGUGAAGCAUCUUUGGCCUGCAGGAGACUCUUUUGCAGUCAGCUAAGCAAGACAGAUCACUAACCGGUCCUAAGAGAA